rnacentral:rRNA from 1 species
UACGGAGGGGGCUAGCGUUGUUCGGAAUUACUGGGCGUAAAGCGCACGUAGGCGGCGAUCUAAGUCAGAGGUGAAAGCCUGGAGCUCAACUCCAGAACUGCCUUUGAGACUGGAUUGCUAGAAUCUUGGAGAGGCGGGUGGAAUUCCGAGUGUAGAGGUGAAAUUCGUAGAUAUUCGAGAACAGCAACGUACGCGAAGGCUGGACGAAUGGACGUAC